GACGAACGCUGGCGGCGUGCCUAAUACAUGCAAGUAGAACGCUGAAGAGAGGAGCUUGCUCUUCUUGGAUGAGUUGCGAACGGGUGAGUAACGCGUAGGUAACCUGCCUGGUAGCGGGGGAUAACUAUUGGAAACGAUAGCUAAUACCGCAUGAAAUGGAUUAUCGCAUGAUAAUUCAUUGAAAGGUGCAAAUGCAUCACUACCAGAUGGGCCUGCGUUGUAUUAGCUAGUUGGUGGGGUAACGGCUCACCAAGGCGACGAUACAUAGCCGACCUGAGAGGGUGAUCGGCCACACUGGGACUGAGACACGGCCCAGACUCCUACGGGAGGCAGCAGUAGGGAAUCUUCGGCAAUGGACGGAAGUCUGACCGAGCAACGCCGCGUGAGUGAAGAAGGUUUUCGGAUCGUAAAGCUCUGUUGUAAGAGAAGAACGAGUGUGAGAGUGGAAAGUUCACACUGUGACGGUAUCUACCA
rnacentral:rRNA from 1 species